CCUACGGGAGGCAGCAGUGAGGAAUAUUGGUCAAUGGGCGCGAGCCUGAACCAGCCAAGUAGCGUGCAGGACGACGGCCCUAUGGGUUGUAAACUGCUUUUAUACGGGGAUAAAGUAUGCCACGUGUGGUUUAUUGCAGGUACCGUAUGAAUAAGGACCGGCUAAUUCCGUGCCAGCAGCCGCGGUAAU
rnacentral:rRNA from 1 species